AAACAACUCUCAGCAACGGAUAUCUUGGCUCUUGCAACGAUGAAGAACGCAGCGAAAUGCGCUACGUAGUGUGAAUUGCAGAAUUCCGCGAAUCAUCGAGUCUUUGAACGCAAGUUGCGCCCGAGGCUUGUCCAAGGGCAUUUCCGCUAGAGCGUCACC
rnacentral:rRNA from 1 species